rnacentral:rRNA from 1 species
ACGAACGCUUGCGGCGUGCUUAACACAUUCAAGUCGAACGGAAAGGCCCCUUUGGGGGUACUCGGGUGGGUAACGGGUGAGUAACACGUGAUUAACCUGCCCUUGACUUCGGGAUAACUUCAGGAAACUGGGUCUAAUACCGGAGAGGAAUCCUUACUGCAUGGUGGGGGUUGGACAGCUUCGUCGGUUUUGGAUGGACUCGCGGCUCAUCAGCUUGUUGGUGGGGUAGUGGCUUACCAAGGCUUUGACGGGUAGCCGGCCUGAGAGGGCGACCGGCAACAGUGGGACUGGGACACGGACCAGACUCCUACGGGAGGGAGCAGUGGGGAAUAUUGCACAAUGGGCGGAAGCCUGAUGCAGAACCGCCGCGGGCGGGAUGACGGCCUUGGGGUUGUAAUCCGAUUUCAGCAGGGGCGAAGAUUGUGGUGACGGUACCUGAAGAAGAAGCACCGGCUAACUACGUG